UCGGACAGGCAGGGUCAGUGCAGACACACGGAGGUUUUGAGAAGGGGGUGAGAUGCCCUGAUUUGCAUGUGCAACAGUCAUUCUGGAUGCUGUGCAGAGAAUGGAAGGGACCAUGGCAGGUGUCCCGGCCCAGAGUCCGCAGCCACGGAGACACACAAGAUGCAGACCCCGAUAUAUUGUAGAGAUGGGACUGGCUGGUGGCUUGCCAGGUACAGGGGACAAGGACAAGGUUCCAUACCCAGUGUGCGGCUCAGCAUGGGGCCUGACCUCACAACCCUGAGAUCAAGAGUCAAACGCUAAACUGACUGAGCCAUCCAGGGCACCUGGGUGAUCAAUUGGUUGAGUGCCCAACUUUUGAUUUCAGCUCGGGUCAUGAUCUCAGAGUCUGGAAUCAAGCCUUUCAAUGGGCUCUGCACUAAGCGAAGAUUCCCUCCCUCCCUCUCCCUCUGCCCCUCUUUCUGCUUUCUUUCUCUCUCCCCCUAAAAACAAAUAAAAUCUUUUAAAAAAUUA